CGGCGCGCCGGAACGAGGCGUUUUCGACGAGAGCCGAUGGGCACAGGUCGCGUGCGCCACCGCCGCGUGGUACGCCGCGCUCGGGGCGCUCGCCGAG
rnacentral:ribozyme from 1 species